AUUAUCAGGCAUAUAACAACUGUCAAGUGCAGCAUUUCAUGCGAGACAAAACCCAAAGCGAACUUCACUCAUAAUCGAAUUGGAGCUCAAAUCAAAUUUUAAAUUUUACAAAAAGACAAGCAAUAACAAAAAUAAAAAACGAGAAGAAAAUUGCCAGAAAUGCUGUGAGUAUUAGACAAACUAACCCCAGGGUAAGCCGCUUUUCAGACGUUUCCCAUUGAACCAUUUCAACUGUGCUAUUGAUAAGAAUGAAGUCAUCUUCAAUAUGUUUUCUUAGAAUAUAACUAAAUUUAAUUUGUGAAUAACAUGCUGAAUUUGCGCCAACGUAGAAGAGCCCACAAAAGGCGAACACUGCUUAUAGCUGCUGUUGUUUUCAUCAUGGUUUGGCCAUUGAUUUUAUUAUGAGAUGCACAGAAUAGCGGAUGAAAACUUGUCGAGUAGCACAAGCACUUAAAUAUGGAGUGGAAUUAAUAUAAACUGUAUGGUAUAGUUAGGAAAUCAGUACAGCAGAUACGAUAAAUAAAGCGGAUUAUGUAGCUGA